rnacentral:snRNA from 1 species
GUGCUUGCUUCGGCAGCACACAUACUAAAAUUGGAACGAUACAGAGAAGAUUAGUAUGGCCCCUGCGUAAGGAUGACACACAAAUCCGUGAAGUGUUCCAUAUUUCU